CAGUUAAAUUUAAAUUCAUAACAACAUUUGACUUGGAUUGGAGGUGGAGUAGAUAUCAGAAAAUCACCAAAUUGAUUGGUCUAAACUGCAAAAGGGUCCCCCAAACGUUAACUUGGAGAAAGACAGCAGCAUGUGAAGUGGAUAAAAUGAUAAUGUCCAAACGUGUCCUUUUUCUCAACCAAAUACUAAAUUAAUAAGUAUUGCUUCUUUAUUGUUGUGUUGCAGAUUCGCGCCAUUGCUGCUAAACUGCAGCCUCUACAGUGUAAACGACAAGCAACUGUCGCUUUUAUAAUGCGUGGAUGUUAGACUUUGCUUGUCAAGAAUCUCAAAGAGCGGAGGAAAUACAGGUUUCAGUCGGUCAGUUCUUAAUACAGACUCAUGCAAAGACUAGGCGUUCUUGAUUGGCGCUGUAACUUGAGUUUCCAAAGCAUAAAUCUACUAGAUGGUGAAUCAUCCCAUACAUUGCUUAAUUCAUUUUCCUGUAGAAGAAGCAGUGAAGCAUCUCAUCCGAAGACAAGACUUUGUUCAAAACUUAGACAUGCAGAUUCAAAUGUCACGCUUCAAAGUCUAAUGCGUCAAUGCUCAGAAAUCCAAAGCGCGGUUCAUGACAACAUUGAUGAACUACUUGAUGAAGAGGACGAGUUAUGUCCUGUCGAAUGUGUAAGAGAAUUUAAGACUGAUGAGGAAUUCUCCAUAAUACUGGAAAAAGCGAAAAAGGCUGGUUCUUUGGUUGUGGUAGACUUCUACCGCACGGCUUGUGGCAGUUGCAAGUACAUAGAGCAAGGGUUUGCAAAAUUAUGCAGGGGAGCUGGUGAUGAACAGGCACCAGUUAUAUUCUUAAAACACAAUGUAAUCGAUGAAUAUGAUGAACAGUCUGAGGUUGCUGAGCGACUCCGAAUCAAGACAGUACCCCUUUUUCACUUUUAUAAAAAUGGAGUCCUACUGGAAGCUUUUCCAACCAGAGAUAAAGAAAGGAUACUUGCAGCUAUUCUUAAAUACUCUGCUGCAGCUUCGCCGGAUGCUUGAAUUGGUCCGGUUUGCACUUGCUUCUACACUAUGUUGCUCGGACUCUUUGAAAAUGUCGACAGGUGCGUGUGGGAUCCUCAAAAAGUUGUGCAUUUUCAGAGGAUCCGACACGGGUGCGGCAACACUUUUGGAGAGUCCAAGCAAUAUAGCUUCUACAUAAUAUGUUGCUUUUAUUAGGACUCCGGCACCUGAUGAGAAAUCAAAGUUGUUUGGCUUCGGAGGGGGAGCAGCUCGAGUAGUCCACCGACAAGAGACAGGUUUGGGACUGGGACUCCGAGCCCAUCCCUCAGAGGACAGAGCCAAUUCUUCUCCCACAGUUAAAAUGUUCAAAGUUCUGGAGUAGUGAACUGUGGGGGGAGUUUACAAUGAUAAAUGAAAAGGGGCCUUAAAUAAAAUGAAUUCAAGCAGCUGUUGAUAAAGCAUCAGAUGAAAACUUCUUCCCAUCUGUCCUAGUCUUGAUGGACAAAAUUACCUGGUAUCAGUUGCUGAUGAGAGGUGGGAGGUAUUCUCAAAUUCGACUUGAGCCCCUUUGACUUUUUCAUAUGUCUACUUUAUAUUUUGAAUCCCUUAGUGAAAAUUCUGGUAUUUUGAAUCCCUUAGUGAAAAUUCUGGUUCGGCCGCUGAGACAAUUCACCUGAGAACAUGUCAUUAAAUAUCAUAAUUGCCCUCUCUUAUAAUCUCAUCUUGUAAAUAGAUCAUGAUCAUGGCUCCUGAUUUUGGGAUGUUUUUCUGCCACUUUGCCCCCUUAAAUGAAAUCCUAUUUUGU